rnacentral:rRNA from 1 species
AUUGAACGCUGGCGGCAUGCCUUACACAUGCAAGUCGAACGGCAGCGCGGACUUCGGUCUGGCGGCGAGUGGCGAACGGGUGAGUAAUACAUCGGAACGUACCCUGUUGUGGGGGAUAACUAGUCGAAAGAUUAGCUAAUACCGCAUACGACCUGAGGGUGAAAGUGGGGGAUCGCAAGGCCUCACGCAGCAGGAGCGGCCGAUGUCUGAUUAGCUAGUUGGUGGGGUAAAGGCUCACCAAGGCGACGAUCAGUAGCUGGUCUGAGAGGACGAUCAGCCACACUGGGACUGAGACACGGCCCAGACUCGUACGGGAGGCAGCAGUGGGGAAUUUUGGACAAUGGGGGCAACCCUGAUCCAGCAAUGCCGCGUGUGUGAAGAAGGCCUUCGGGUUGUAAAGCACUUUUGUCCGGAAAGAAAUCGCGCUGGUUAAUACCUGGCGUGGAUGACGGUACCGGAAGAAUAAGCACCGGCUAACUACGUG